UCUAAAAUUUUUCCCUCUCAAGUUCUGUUCUGUUCAUUCCAUGCUUUAAUGGUAUGAUUCUGAUCCAAUCAAAUGAUCUUCCUCAUCCUUGGCCUCUAAAUGCUGUGUUCUCUAACGAUGAUAUCUCUCAAACCCCUGCCUACCAACCUCAAUUCAUCCUUCCAUUCCUUAACCCCAUUUAAACCCUUCACCUCCAUAACUCAAACCCUAAAACCCUCAAAAUCCCACUCCUAUUCCGCCAUUCAAUCCGUCCUCCAAUGGAAUAGAAAGCCCGAAUUGGCUGGAGACACCCCACGCGUUGUAGUAAUAACCUCCGGCAAAGGUGGCGUCGGCAAGACCACCACCACCGCUAAUGUUGGCCUCUCCUUGGCUCGCCUGGGCUUUUCUGUUGUUGCCAUCGAUGCCGAUGUUGGCCUCCGAAACCUCGACCUGCUCCUCGGCCUUGAAAAUCGCGUGAAUUACACUCUCGUCGAGGUUAUGAACGGCGAUUGCCGUCUGGACCAAGCCCUAGUGCGUGACAAGCGGUGGUCCAAUUUCGAGCUUCUGUGCAUC
rnacentral:misc_RNA from 1 species